rnacentral:lncRNA from 1 species
AAAUAAAGGAUUAAUUUCCCUUUUAUGCCUUAGAAUAGGAAAAUAUAUAUUAAAACUUUGUAAGUUUUCAAAUCAUGCUCGAACAAUUUACUCUUUUAUCCCUUAGAAUAAUGAUUAUAGCCAUAACUAUUAGUAAAUCUAAAAUGAACAAUGCUACACAAAUUAAGAAAUUUUACAAUUCAUUUUUACUCUAAUGUGUCACAAAACUGAUAAAACUUUGAUAUUUAAAGUAAGACCCACCAGAGUGAUGUGAUAAGGAAAAUAAAAAAAUUAUAAGAUUUUUAUUGUUGUUUAUCAUCAUUCGUUUGAAAUUAAUCUUCUGGAACAAAUAUUUAGAAAUAACUAAAAAUAUUGAUAAAAAUAAAAGUGGAUAAUAUUCAGUUUGCUUGUUCUCUUGAAAGAAU